ACUUUAUCAAGAUAUAUAAUUAGAUAUUCUACUUUUAAGUUUAGGUGGGGGGAGAGUAGUGAAGUAUUAUUUGUGUGGCACCCCGGUACUCUGCAUUUUAUUAGUGUUCCACUAGUCCCCCUCUACCUACGAACUUCAAUUAACAUGAUAAAUAAUUGCGAUACAAUCACAAUUACAAUAUUAACAUUUUUGUUAAACUAUUAUUUUUAUUAAAAUGAAAAAAGCAACAAAUCUAUUG